ACACCACACACACACACCACACACACACACAAUAAUCCUCUUUGAGGUUGAAUAUCGUACCAUCAUAUCUUGCCUUAUCUGUUAUCCCACACACUCAAGAGUUUAAUUUAUUAUCCACCAGACAUUCAUGAGUAAAAACUUUAUCAGCGAGAACUUCAUUCAGCCACUCAGAAGAGUAGAGGUGAUGAGUACAGUGAUAGAGAGAUGGGUGAAGGUAGGAGGAUAGAGAUGUGAGAGUGGGGAUAGAGGGAUGGCUGAAGGUAGAUUGAUAGAGAUGUGAGAGUGGGGAUAGAGGGAUGGCUGAAGGUAGAUUGAUAGAGAUGUGAGAGUGGGGAUAGAGGGAUGGCUGAAGGUAGAUUGAUAGAGAUGUGAGAGUGGGGAUAGAGGGAUGGCUGAAGGUAGAUUGAUAGAGAUGUGAGAGUGGGGAUAGAGGGAUGGCUGAAGGUAGAUUGAUAGAGAUGUGAGAGUGGGGAUAGAGGGAUGGCUGAAGGUAGAUUGAUAGAGAUGUGAGAGUGGGGAUAGAGGGAUGGCUGAAGGUAGAUUGAUAGAGAUGUGAGAGUGGGGAUAGAGGGAUGGCUGAAGGUAGAUUGAUAGAGAUGUGAGAGUGGGGAUAGAGGGAUGGCUGAAGGUAGAUUGAUAGAGAUGUGAGAGUGGGUAUAGAGGGAUGGGUGAAGGUAGGAGGAUAGAGAUGUGAGAGUGGGGAUCGAGGGAUGGCUAAAGGAAGGAGGAUAGAGAUGUGAGAGUGGGGAUAGAGGGAUGGCUCAAAAUAGGAGGAUAAAGAUGAGAGAGUGGGGAUAGAGGGAUGGGUGAAGGUAGAUUGAUAGAGAUGUGAGAGUGGGGAUAGAGGGAUGGCUGAAGGUAGAUUGAUAGAGAUGUGAGAGUGGGGAUAGAGGGAUGGAGGGAUGGCUGGUAGAAGGAUAGAGAUGUGAGAGUGGGGAUAGAGGGAUAGAGGGAUGGCUGGUAGAAGGAUAGAGAUGUGAGAGUGGGGAUAGAGGGAUGGCUGGUAGAAGGAUAGAGAUGUGAGAGUGGGGAUAGAGGGAUGGCUGGUAGAAGGAUAGAGAUGUGAGAGUGGGGAUAGAGGGAUGGCUGGUAGAAGGAUAGAGAUGUGAGAGUGGGGAUAGUUGAAGGUGGAAGGAUAGAGAUGUGAGAGUGGGGAUAGAGGGAUAGCGUUUAGCAGAGCCUCUGUUAAUAGGCU